GAUGAACGCUGGCGGCGUGCCUAAUACAUGCAAGUCGAGCGAACGGACGAGGAGCUUGCUCCUUUGACGUUAGCGGCGGACGGGUGAGUAACACGUGGAUAACCUACCUAUAAGACUGGGAUAACUUCGGGAAACCGGAGCUAAUACCGGAUAAUAUAUUGAACCGCAUGGUUCAAUAGUGAAAGACGGUUUUGCUGUCACUUAUAGAUGGAUCCGCGCCGCAUUAGCUAGUUGGUAAGGUAACGGCUUACCAAGGCAACGAUGCGUAGCCGACCUGAGAGGGUGAUCGGCCACACUGGAACUGAGACACGGUCCAGACUCCUACGGGAGGCAGCAGUAGGGAAUCUUCCGCAAUGGGCGAAAGCCUGACGGAGCAACGCCGCGUGAGUGAUGAAGGUCUUCGGAUCGUAAAACUCUGUUAUUAGGGAAGAACAAAUGUGUAAGUAACUAUGCACGUCUUGACGGUACCUAAGCAGAAAGCCACGGCUAACUACGU
rnacentral:rRNA from 1 species